UACGUAGGGUGUAAGCGUUGUCCGGAAUUAUUGGGCGUAAAGAGCUCGUAGGCGGUCUGUCGCGUCGGCUGUGAAAACCCGGAGCUCAACUCCGGGCCUGCAGUCGAUACGGGCAGACUGGAGUUCGGCAGGGGAGACUGGAAUUCCUGGUGUAGCGGUGAAAUGCGCAGAUAUCAGGAGGAACACCGAUGGCGAAGGCAGGUCUCUGGGCAUUAACUGACGCUGAGGAGCGAAAGCAUGGGGAGCGAACAGG
rnacentral:rRNA from 1 species